CAAGUUCUACUGCCCCAACUUCAGGGAGAGUGAGAUGAGUGCCAUCGCAGCCGACAUGUGCACCAAUGCUUGCCGAGUGGUACGUUAAAGCUGACUGCCCGAGACCAAGCCACUGCACCGGGUAGAGGGUGAUAACUACAGCAGCUUCAUCAGUGACACUGGCAAGAUAGAACCGGACAUGAUGAGCAUGGGGCACAGCUUCAAGACAGCCAGCCAUGAUGGCGAGGCCGGCCCCUCAGCUGAGGUUCUCCAGUAACGUUCACGUGACACCCCCUUACCCGAUGUCACAUUCCCCCCCUAUUGCACCCCCACCUACCACCUACUUGGUCAUGAUCUACUGUCUGUCCCUCCCCAGGACCUGUGAGGGAGUGUUCCAUGCCCUCUAUCGGAUACAAGAGCUGGCUGACCAAGCCAAACCACUGUACCUAGCAGAGGGCAGUGCCGACAGCAGGACCAUGAGGAAGAGCCGAGCCUGGUAGGCAUAGAAUACAGCUUCCACACAGACAGCCCCUCAAUGGAGGUCCUCCAGUACCUGCCCAGGACCCUCACAUGGAUGUCACACUCCCUUCUGUCACACACAUACCCCCACCACCUUAGUCACAAGCUACUGUUUGUCCCUCCCCAGAAGCUGCAGGGGUGCUGCAACUCCCAGCUCCUUUGCCUCCCUGUCACCCCACACCUUUUCCC
rnacentral:lncRNA from 1 species